rnacentral:rRNA from 1 species
UUAAUUGAAGAGUUUGAUCAUGGCUCAGAUUGAACGCUGGCGGCAGGCCUAACACAUGCAAGUCGAACGGUAACAGAGAGCAGCUUGCUGCUCUGCUGACGAGUGGCGGACGGGUGAGUAAUGUCUGGGAAACUGCCUGAUGGAGGGGGAUAACUACUGGAAACGGGAGC